rnacentral:tRNA from 13 species
UGGGGGAUCGUCUAGUGGUAGGACUACGGACUCUGACUCCGUCAGCGGGGGUUCGAAUCCCUCUCCCCCAGCCA